rnacentral:tRNA from 1 species
GGUGGGUUGGCUCAGUGGUUAGAGCGUAGGUCUCGUAACCAAAAGGUCGCGGGAUAGAAUCCCGCUGAAAUUUAUUU